CGUAAUAUAAGGUUGUCCUAAAAUCAACGGAUAAGAUGUUGUAUCUUCAACAAAGAAAUGUUGCUCCGUCGUAACAUCCCUAAUCCAAAUUUUGACAUCUGGACAAGCUCCAUAUGAUUCGCCCUGUGUGUUAUUAGCUGCUCGAAUUGCCCAUCCAUGUUCCAUAUCAAUUGGCCAUUUUUGCUUCUUAUAAAGAUCUUUAGACAUGAGAUUUAUUUAAGAACCAUGGUCGACUAAAGCAACUAUUGGUUCUUCUAUAUCUCUUACUUUCACCAAUACCUCAGUAGUUA
rnacentral:lncRNA from 1 species